UACGGGGGGGGGCAAGCGUUGUUCGGAAUUACUGGGCGUAAAGGGCUCGUAGGCGGCCAACUAAGUCGGAUGUGAAAUCCCCAGGCUCAACUUGGGAACUGCAUCCGAUACUGGAUGGCUUGAAUUCGGGAGAGGGAUGCAGAAUUCCAGGUGUAGCGGUGAAAUGCGUAGAUAUCUGGAGGAAUACCGGUGGCGAAGGCGGCAUCCUGGACCGACAUUGACGCUGAGGAGCGAAAAGCUAGGGGAGCAAACGGG
rnacentral:rRNA from 1 species